GAGACUUAUGAAGUCCUUCCCUAGAGUAUUGGGGAGGAAGAUUUGAGGAAGAGAAAAGAGUGAAGUUUGGAUAGAGAAGAUUGUACAACUACAGAGGAUCAACUUUCCUUCCAUGUGGAGAGAGCUUGCUGGAGAAUGAAGCUGAUCCAGAGAGAGGGUUCCAUGUUGGAAUGUGACAGCAAGAAGAGAAAUGGUCAUUGGCUGUGGCUUACCACUUUUCUUCUAAUAUCUGUAGUCAUGUUAUGAAGAACCUUGUGUGCAAGUAUGUGCUCACCCCAAACUGCAUAUCCAAACUCUGCCCACAAUACUGUAAACAGCUUCCCCUUGCUAUCCCUUAGGUCUAGGUGUUAGCACCUCUGUGGUGCAGUCAACCUUGAAGGUUUGGGCAAGAGGACUGUAGAAGCUUUGGAAGUCUAUCUGGGGAAGGUGUCCUAGGGUCCUUGUCUUGGGCUGGUUAUGAAAUUCAACAAGAUACAUCCUAUAGGCCUUGCAGACUCAUUACCCUGUGAGAAGGGGAUGAAAGGGGGAUAAAGUGGGCUGUCUAAAGUGUAAGAUUCAUCUGGCCAGAUUGCUUCUGUAGACAUCAUCAAGGGUGACUUCAUCCUUUUCACUACUGGU